ACGGAGGGUCCAAGCGUUAUCCGGAUUCAUUGGGUUUAAAGGGUCCGCAGGCGGGAAGAUAAGUCAGUGGUGAAAGCCUACAGCUCAACUGUAGAACUGCCAUUGAUACUGUUUUUCUUGAAUAUAGAUGAAGUGGGCGGAAUGUGUCAUGUAGCGGUGAAAUGCAUAGAUAUGACACAGAACACCGAUUGCGAAGGCAGCUCACUAAACUAUUAUUGACGCUCAUGGACGAAAGCGUGGGGAGCGAACAGG
rnacentral:rRNA from 1 species